CGGGCGAGGGGCCAGAGCGCCCCGGGCGGCGCUGCUAAAACCCGCAUGAGGAGAUUAAAGCAACAGGAAACGAUCUAAUUCCUUCUCCUCCUUCCGCCAUCCGCUGCCUUUCGGGGGCAGAUUCCGUCAUGAAUUAAAAGAUCCGAGGCUGAGCGUGAACAGGGCGCUUGCUCGGGAUGGUGGAGGGCUGAGCGAGGUGUUGGGGAGAGAGGUGAAGUUUCUGGGAAGACUGGUGUGAAGUCUGAUGAAUUACUCUCUAUUUCCAAGAAAUCUACACUUUCCCCUCCUUUACCAGAAGUUUCAAGAAAGCUUUUUCAGUUACUAUUGCUUUUUGUCAGAAGUCGAAAACCUGUUUCACACAGAGAAUACUCAGCUGAACAGGACAGUAUUG